UAAACUGCAUUUUUAUAUGUUAUGUGUGGUAAAAUUCCUUGUCUCAUUGUUUUUCAUAGAUGCAGCGAGGAGAGAACUUAUUAUCAUAGAUGUGCUUGCUUCUGGUUUUGGAUACUUUUGGUUCUCUUAGCUUUUGCUUCUCAAAAGUGUUUCAAGAUCACGAGGUAGCAGAGGCAUUAUCUGAAUCUAGACUCUACGCAUGGGGUUUGCGUUCAACUGCUUGACCAUCAUUGGCCUGCAUUUGCUGUAGAAUUACAGGUGAUGGAGCGAGACCAGCACUGUCGCUUAAGCACCCUCAUCAGAGAGAGAUUGUUGCUUGAACAUGAGCAUCUUCC